CCCUUUCAGUCAUAAAUUAGGGAAAAGCAAACAGACACAGCUAAACCCACACACACUCUCUCUUCCCUUUUUUUUUUUCUUUUCUUUUCUUCUCUUCUCUUCUCACCACCAAGCAGCACAAAUAACGUUACCCUUUCUUUCUAUCUCAUGUUUCUCUCUCCUCUUCCACAUUCUUAACUCCUUCUCCCUCUCUUCUUAUUACUACUACUACUGCUGCUGAGAUUAUAUCAUGGAUUCUAGGUUUGAUGGAUUCUCAAUAAGAGAGUACACUUCUAAGAUGAGGUCUAUUGAUGUAUUCAAAUGCUGGCCAUUCACUUCCACUUCUAACCCUCAUCUCACGCGCGACCAACUUCACUCUUGGCUUCCUCCUAUGUCUCCCUGCCCUAGCAGAUCCAAUCAAAAUCAUCAAUCUUCAGCUCAACAACAAUUUUCUACAAUUCAAUCAUCCAAAUCUGAUCAUCCUGUUCGUGCUGAAGAUGAUGAAAAAGUAGAGAUGAUUUGUCCGGUUUGUCGUGAAUUCAACGCUGCUACUCUUACAGCAGUAAACGCUCACAUCGACGGUUGUCUUGCUGAGUCGGUUAGAGUAGAGCGUCGUCAUAUGAGGAUCAUCAAUUCCAAAUCCAAAGCGUUAAAGUCGUUUAAGUCAAAAUCAAAAUCGCCCAAGAAGCGUUCUAUAGCUGAGAUUUUCAAGGUGGAGGAUAAAGAUAGAUAUAUAGAUCAGCAACAUCAUCAGGAGAAGGAAAAAGAAGCUAUUCAAAACGAGAGUGUGAUGAAAUUGUUGCAGUUACCACCUGAAGAGGAGGAUGUCGUUCAAGAAGAUGAAGUUUCGAUUACUGUUAGGAAGUUCAGGUGGCUCUCUCAACGGCUUGAGGCGUUGAGAUCUAAACCAGGAGGUGGUGAAUCGGCGAAAGAAUCGGAGAAAUUGUCAAUUGAGGAGGAGAAAUUGGAGAUGAUUUGUCCUGUUUGUAAAGAUUUCAACGCUGCUACUGUGACGGCGGUGAACGCUCAUAUUGAUAGUUGUUUAGGGAAGGCUGUUAGAGAUGAACGGCGUCAGACGGCGAGGACUGGUUUCAAAUCUAAACCUAAAGCGCCGAAGAAGCGUUCUAUUGCUGAGAUUCUCAACGUUGUGCCGCCGAUUGAAUUCAACAACAUAAAGAGUAAGACUGUUGAGGUUGAAGAAGAUGAAGAUAAAUUCUCUGAUUAUUCCGGCGAGGAAUCUAGUGCUUCUGAUGCUGCUGCUACUUUUGUUUCGAUAACCAAGAACAAGAAGAGUUUGAACAAAAACAGCAAAAAUAAAAAGAUGAAGAAGACUAAGAAGAAGACGAUGACGAUAAAGAAGAUGGUAAAGUACUGUGAUAGUGGUGUGUUGUUGAACAAUGAGGUGAAGACGAAGAAGAAGAUGAACAUGAAAAAGAAGAAAAAGAUGAACAUCUUCAACAGUGAGUUCACUCGGAAGAAGGAAAGUGCUAACAAGCGCGAGGUGCAAACUGAUGUAAAUAGUUGCAGAAAACUGAGAGAUACAAUUGGUGAUGAAAUGGGUGCACUACAAGACAUUGAACCUUCUGUCCAUAGAAAGAAAUUGGGUUUAAAUGGCUUAUCAGUAGAAAAAAAGCCACAGGUUAAAAACUAUAACUCAGUUGGAAAGUGGCAAAAAGCAGAUUCUCCUGUUCGGGGCAUUUUUAGGAACCAUUUAAAACAUGUUUCUGGAAAGAUAUCAAAUGCAUGUAAAAUUCAAGAUGGUACUGAAGAAAGCGAUGAAUAUGAUCAAGUGCUAACCUCCGACAGACAUGUCAAAUUCUCAUAUAAAGAUGAAAUAGUUGGUCCGGAAAAGAGAUACUCAUUUGAUGAAACCAUGUUUAGCACAUCUUCAGAUGCACUGGCCACUUCAUUUGCAAAGGAGCAGUCCUCUGGAACUGAUGAAGAAUGUUCAAGUUUUGAGGCAAACAAAAAUUAUGACCAAAUUGCCCUUAAUAUAGAAGUGGACAAGAGAGAGGAGGUUUGCCCAAUAACUGAAAGCAAACAGUUUUCUUGUACUCUGAAACAAGUCAUGGGACUAAAUUUCUUGAAGCCAUGUAUCAAUCAAGAAAAAGCAAAUCAGUUAGAACAGAAGUCUGAAUUAUUAACCAAGAUGGCAGUUUAUGACGAUAAUAAUUCACAGCUUCUUGAUGGAGGCAACAUAACUACAGUUAAUUUUUCUAAACCUCUUUCGGCAGUCCAAGAAGGGCAAAUGUGUGCUAAAAAUAUACAAGUGAGUGAAUCUGGAGAUUUCAGUUUCGGUGGAAAGUUCAUUGACUAUUCGGAGGAUCCUACUUUUCAGGUUGACAUUGUGAACAAAAAUGCAAGUACAAAGACACUCCUGGAGCCUUCAUCAUCUUAUUCUGCUCCAUAUGGCAAAGUAAAUGAAAAACCUGAAUCUCCAUCACCUUCAUCGUCCUAUUAUGGAGAUAAUGGUAAUAGUAACCAGACCUUGGAUGAUAAACAGUUGGAUAAUAUGUUUCCUGAAGAUAUGAUUGAUAAAUCAUACCCUUUUUCAAGCUGGGGACAAGGAUGCAUAAGAAAUAGCUGUUUGGAUCCCAACUUUUUCGGGUUGCCACUCAAUUCUCAUGGUGAGCUGAUCAAUUUCAGUUCAAAUGGAAAUGUUGGAAUGGACAAGAUCAAUUUCAGUUCAAAUGGAAAUGUUGGCACGAACCAGCUGGAGACAUCAAGUCCAUUAGGAGAUUCUUUAAGUGGCUUGUCUAGUAAUAAUAUUCUCUGUCAAAGUAGCCAGGAAAAUUUAAGCAUUAAUGAGAGGCAUUUUGGUCAGAAGACAUUAGGAAAAGAUGGUCCAAAUUCAUUACCUAAUUAUCCACCCAGGUUAGCUGUGACCGAGUUAUGCAGUCAAACAGAAGAUAUCCAUCCACCUAAUUCUGAAAUGUGUUCCAGUCACCAUGUGCAGCCACUACAUUCAGAGUUCCUUAAACAUAAUUCGUGUGUUGAACAGAACCAACGUGAAAGAGUGCAGAAUCAUAACAGAAAUGGGAUGGUUUCACUGAAAGAAGGUUCAGAUCAUAUCUCACCAAGUUCCAGCCAACCAACAAUGAGAUUGAUGGGUAAAGAUGUUCCGAUUGCUAGAAGCAGCCAAGAGCCACAACAAUUUACAGGAGUUGUCUGGAGCGACGAGGAAUCCAAAAGAAGGCAUUAUGCUGAAUAUACUGCUUUAGAAAAUUCUUUACUGCAAAGAUGUUCCAAGCCGGAUUGGGUAUCUGGUUCCUCUUUACAAAUAUCAACCGAUAGUGUAUUGCAGUCUGAGAAAAUUCAAAGUACUCAUGGAUUACAAAGCACUCAGGGAUUUCCUCAACAGUUUACUGAUAUGCAAAGUAAUCAUGUUUCUCAAAAUGGAAGUCUCGGAGUCGGCAGAAAUGCUGGUUCUUAUUUCAAUUCUAUUGCUCAGGAAUCCACCUCAUAUACAGUAUAUAAUGGGACACCCAAUGACUCUUCAGAGCAGUUUAUAGCUGGUUCUAAACCAUCAGUACUAUGCUCUCGGCCACAGGUAUUACCCACUCCUUGCAAUUUUAAUCAGCCGACAUGUUCAAGAAACGGUGAGCUAAAUGGCAGGAACAAAAAUCCUCAUGUUACAAAAUCAGCCUUUGGAUUUCCUUUCUUGCAGCCUGCUGCCAAUGAACAGGCCAAAACAUAUUGGAGUCAGGGGCCUUAUAGAAGUGAUAUAGUUUGGUUGUCAAGCUCAACAGAUGACAUGCUAAGCGGGACAUAUUCUCAGCAAUUUUCUGGCGUAGCUAAUCAAAGUUUUCCACAAAAUCGAUGGGGAAAUAAUUUUAUCACGCCAUCUCCUAAUCAUUCAACAAAAGUUCUCUACUCUUCUAAUCCUUUGAUUUCUCGGGGUCCCAUGAAGACGACCCCUCUUUGUCCAGCAUCAAUUGUUCAAUCUCCACAAGCUUCAGUUACACACACUACCAUGAAUAAUGUUUUUAGAAACAUAAAUAAGGCCGUUGACAGAGUAAUGUUGGAUGGUAUGGUUGUCAAAGACCAUCAUCAUCCAUGCACAAAUAUCAGGAAGAGACCUGCAGAUAAUCUUGAUGAUUCCAGAAAACCUAUCAAGGUAUCCAAUAUAGAAGUGAGAGAAAACAUGAGUCGCAUGCCAAAGUUGACUCGAGAAAACUCAAAUGUAGAAUUGCAAUGUAACAAAAGAGCAGUGGUACUUGAUCCACAAGUGGAGAUUGCGAGAAGUAGGUGUUGCCAGAAUGUGGCACAAAAUCUAAAUCCUACAAGUUAUCCUGCUGUUGAUUCUUUUAAACCGAACGGCACGAUAAGAUCUAGUCCUGUCCGACUUGGUCCUAAAAGAGCUAAGCACAUUCUAAAAUCCUCUUGAAAUAUGGAUCAAGAUAGAUAAAGAGUGAUCCAUUUUGCCAUGCUCUCAUUUGUGACUACUGACUUUGAUAGGAAUCUAGAAAUUCAGAGAUAAUAGACUAAAGUAUACUGAUUUUAGGCGUUGCUGAAACCGGCGGAAAAUUGAACUAAUUCCAUCCAAGCUUUUGAUCAUCCAACUCAGUUUUGAUGUUUUUUGCUCUUUACAGAAUUUUAUCAUCAAAGAUGAUGCUUUUGAUAUCUAUUUUUGAGUCAGGUACUCGCAUCUGUUCAAUGACUUUACAAAAAUCUUGAAUAAGGGUAUAUAACACAUCUCUCAUAAA